GACGAACGCUGGCGGCGUGCCUAAUACAUGCAAGUAGGACGCAGUUGCGAACGGGUGAGUAACGCGUAGGUAACUGCCUAUUAGAGGGGGAUAACUAUUGGACACGAUAGCUAAUACCGCAUACUAGUAGAUGGACCUGCGUUGUAUUAGCUAGUAGGUAGGGUAAUGGCCUACCAAGGCGACGAUACAUAGCCGCCCUGAGGGGGUGAUCGGCCAAACUGGGACUGGGACACGGCCCCGACCCCGUCGGGAGGCAGCAGUAGGGAAUCUUCGGCAAUGGGGGGAAACCUGACCGAGCAACUCCGCGGGAGUGAAGAAGGUUUUCGGAUCGGAAAGCUCUGUUGUUAAGGAAGCGGUACUUAACCAGAAAGGGACGGCUAACUACGUGCCAGCAGCCGCGGUAAUAC
rnacentral:rRNA from 1 species